rnacentral:rRNA from 1 species
GACGAACGCUGGCGGCGUGCUUAACACAUGCAAGUCGAACGGAAAGGCCCUGCUUUUGUGGGGUGCUCGAGUGGCGAACGGGUGAGUAACACGUGAGUAACCUGCCCUUGACUUUGGGAUAACUUCAGGAAACUGGGGCUAAUACCGGAUAGGAGCUCCUGCUGCAUGGUGGGGGUUGGAAAGUUUCGGCGGUUGGGGAUGGACUCGCGGCUUAUCAGCUUGUUGGUGGGGUAGGGGCUUACCAAGGCUUUGACGGGUAGCCGGCCUGAGAGGGUGACCGGCCACAUUGGGACUGAGAUACGGCGCAGACUCCUACGGGAGGCAGCAGUGGGGAAUAUUGCACAAUGGGCGGAAGCCUGAUGCAGCAACGCCGCGUGCGGGAUGACGGCCUUCGGGUUGUAAACCGCUUUCGCAUGUAACGAAGCGUGAGUGACGGUAAUGAGUAAAGAAGCAACGGCUAACUACGUG